rnacentral:rRNA from 1 species
GAUGAACGCUGGCGGCGUGCCUAAUACAUGCAAGUCGAGCGAACAGACGAGGAGCUUGCUCCUUCGACGUUAGCGGCGUACGGGUGAGUAACACGUAGGUAACCUACCUAUAAGACUGGGAUAACUUCGGGAAACCGGAGCUAAUACCGGAUAAUAUUUCGAACCGCAUGGUUCGAUAGUGAAAGAUGGCUUUGCUAUCACUUAUAGAUGGACCUACGCCGUUUUAGCUAGUUGUUAAGGUAACGGCUUACCAAGGCAACGAUACGUAGACGACCUGAGAGGGUGAUAGGCCACACUGGAACUGAGCCACGGUCCAGACUCCUACGGGAGGCAGCAGUAGGGAAUCUUCCGCAAUGGGCGAAAGCCUGACGGAGCAACGCCGCGUGAGUGAUGAAGGUCUUCGGAUCGUAAAACUCUGUUAUUAGGGAAGAACAAACGUGUAAGUAACUGUGCACGUCUUGACGGUACCUAAUCAGAAAGCCACGGCUAACUACGUG